UACGUAGGGUGCGAGCGUUAAUCGGAAUUAUUGGGCGUAAAGGGCGCGUAGGCGGUGCGGUAAGUCACCUGUGAAAACUCUGGGCUCAACUCAGAGCCUGCAGGCGAAACUGCCGUGCUUGAGUGUGGGAGAGGUGCGUGGAAUUCCCGGUGUAGCGGUGAAAUGCGUAGAUAUUCGGAAGAACACCAGUGGCGAAGGCGACUUACUGGACACAUAUUGACGCUGAGGUGCGAAAGCGUGGGGAGCAAACAGG
rnacentral:rRNA from 1 species